UCAGCCUGAAGGCGCCCGAUCUCGUCUGAUCUCGGAAGCUAAGCAGGGUCGGCCUGGUUAGUAUCUUGGAUGGGAGACCACCUGGGAAUCCCGGG
rnacentral:rRNA from 1 species